rnacentral:rRNA from 1 species
GGGAUAACUUCGGGAAACCGGAGCUAAUACCGGAUAAUAUAUUGAACCGCAUGGUUCAAUAGUGAAAGACGGUUUUGCUGUCACUUAUAGAUGGAUCCGCGCCGCAUUAGCUAGUUGGUAAGGUAACGGCUUACCAAGGCAACGAUGCGUAGCCGACCUGAGGAGGGUGAUCGGCCACACUGGAACUGAGACACGGUCCAG